rnacentral:rRNA from 1 species
GAUUAUGGCUCAGGAUGAACGCUGGCGGCGUGCUUCAUACAUGCAAGUCGAACGUGAAGCUGACUUCGGUCAGUGGAAAGUGGCGGACGGGUGAGUAAUACAUAGGAAAUCUGCCCUUAGGAAGGGGAUAACAGUCGGAAACGAUUGCUAAUACCCUAUAUGAGCUUGGUUGCAAUACCAAUCUUGAAAACUCCGGUGCCUAAGGAUGAGCCUGUGCCUGAUUAGCUUGUUGGUGGUGUAAUGGACCACCAAGGCGACGAUCAGUAGCUGGUUUGAGAGGAUGAUCAGCCACAAUGGGACUGAGACACGGUCCAUACUCCUACGGGAGGCAGCAGUAGGGAAUUUUGGGCAAUGGGCGAAAGCCUGACCCAAGCAACGCCGCGUGUGUGAUGAAGCCCCUAGGGGUGUAAAACACUGUCAGUAGGGAAGAAACUUGACUGUACCUACAGAGGAAGCACCGGCUAACUCCGUGCCAGCAGCAGC